GUGGCUGUAGCUCAGUGGUAGAGCACUUGCCUAGCAUGUGUGAGGCACUGGGUUCAAUCCUCAGCACCACA
rnacentral:tRNA from 1 species